AUUGAACGCUGGCGGCAUGCCUUACACAUGCAAGUCGAACGGCAGCACGGGAGCAAUCCUGGUGGCGAGUGGCGAACGGGUGAGUAAAGUAUCGGAACGUGCCCAGUCGUGGGGGAUAACGUAGCGAAAGUUACGCUAAUACCGCAUACGAUCUACGGAUGAAAGCGGGGGAUCGCAAGACCUCGCGCGAUUGGAGCGGCUGAUAUCAGAUUAGGUAGUUGGUGGGGUAAAGGCUCACCAAGGCGACGAUCUGUAGCUGGUCUGAGAGGACGACCAGCCAACCUGGGACUGAGACACGGCCCAGACUCCGACGGGAGGCAGCAGUGGGGAAUUUUGGACAAUGGGCGCAAGCCUGAUCCAGCCAUGCCGCGUGCAGGAUGAAGGCCUUCGGGUUGUAAACUGCUUUUGUACGGAACGAAAAGGUUUGGCCUAAUAAGCUGGACCCAUGACGGUACCGUAAGAAUAAGCACCGGCUAACUACGUGCCAGCCGCCGCGGUAACAC
rnacentral:rRNA from 1 species